ACCGGAGCUAAUACCGGAUAAUAUAUUGAACCGCAUGGUUCAAUAGUGAAAGACGGUUUUGCUGUCACUUAUAGAUGGAUCCGCGCCGCAUUAGCUAGUUGGUAAGGUAACGGCUUACCAAGGCAACGAUGCGUAGCCGACCUGAGAGGGUGAUCGGCCACACUUGAACUGAGACACGGUCCAG
rnacentral:rRNA from 1 species